AUUGAACGCUGGCGGCAGGCCUAACACAUGCAAGUCGAACGAGUGGCGGACGGGUGAGUAAUGUAUGGGCAACGGCCUGAUGGAGGGGGAUAACUACUGGGAACGGUAACUAAUACCGCCCACCAUCGGCUGUGCCGAGAUGGGAUUAGCUAGUAGGUGGGGUAAAGGCUCACCUAGGCGACGAUCCCUAGCUGGUCUGAGAGGAUGAACAGUCACACUGGAACUGAGAAACGGUCCAGACUCCUACGGGAGGCAGCAGUGGGGAAUAUUGCACAAUGGGCGCAAGCCUGAUGCAGCCAUGCCGCGUGUAUGAAGAAGGCCUUCGGGUUGUAAAGUACUUUCAGCUGGGAGGCGUUACCCGCAGAAGAAGCACCGGCUAACUCCGUGCCAGCAGCCGCGGUAAUAC
rnacentral:rRNA from 1 species